GUCUAUGGCCAUACCACUCUGAACACACCCGAUCUUGUCUGAUCUCAGAAGCUGAGCAGGGUCGGGCCUGGUUAGUUCUUGGAAGGGAGGAACCAAAAUUAACCUCAAGAAAAUGAAUAUCAGAGGUGAGGUUGUUA
rnacentral:rRNA from 1 species